GGGGCAACACCCGUUCCCAUCCCGAACACGGCAGUUAAGCCCUCCAGCGCCGAUGGUACUGGGUUUCCGGGAGAGUAGGUCGCUGCCAGAG
rnacentral:rRNA from 1 species